rnacentral:rRNA from 1 species
GAUGAACGCUGGCGGCGUGCCUAAUACAUGCAAGUCGAGCGGACGGACGAGGAGUUUCCUCCUCUGAGUUAGGGGCCGGCGGGGUGGGUAACCCGUGGAUACCCUCCCUUAAGGACGGGGUAACUUUGGGAAACCGGGGGCAAAUACGGGUAACUCUUUCGCACAGCAUGGUGCAAUCGUGAAGGUCGCAUUUGGCUACCCCUUACAGAUGAUCCGCGCCGCAUUAGCUAGUUGGUUAGGUAACGGCUUACCAAGGCGACGAUGCGUAGCCGACCUGAGAGGGUGAUCGGCCACACUGGAACUGAGACACGGCCCAGACUCCUACGGGAGGCAGCAGUAGGGAAUCUUCCGCAAUGGGCGAAAGCCUGACGGAGCAACGCCGCGUGAGUGAUGAAGGUCUUCGGAUCGUAAAACUCUGUUAUCAGGGAAGAACAAGUGUCUAAGUAACUGCCCACGUCUUGACGGUACCUAAUCAGAAAGCCACGGCUAACUACGUG